rnacentral:tRNA from 1 species
GCGAGUCUGGCCGAGUGGUUAAGGCGUUGUGUUUAGGUACUUCCUCAUGAAAACUUGAACCGCAAUGGGCAUGCCCGCGUAGGUUCGAUCCCUACGGCUCGCA